UCUCCGUUGGUGAACCAGCGGAGGGAUCAUUACCGAGUUUACAACUCCCAAACCCAAUGUGAACCAUACCAAACUGUUGCCUCGGCGGGGUCACGCCCCGUGUGCGUCGCAGCCCCGGAACCAGGCGCCCGCCAGAGGGACCAACCAAACUCUUUCUGUAGUCCCCUCGCGGACGUUAUUUUUACAGCUCUGAGCAAAAAUUCAAAAUGAAUCAAAACUUUCAACAACGGAACUCUUGGUUCUG
rnacentral:misc_RNA from 1 species